rfam:Punica granatum cultivar Dabenzi scaffold239, whole genome shotgun sequence.
GCCUCUGAGGAUGAUCAAUAUGAAGUUCUUCCGAGUUGUUUCGUGUGGAAAAUUUUGGAGACCUGAACUGAAGAGGC